rnacentral:rRNA from 1 species
UACGUAGGGUGCAAGCGUUGUCCGGAAUUAUUGGGCGUAAAGAGCUCGUAGGCGGUCUGUCGCGUCGGAUGUGAAAAUCCAGGGCUCAACCCUGGACCUGCAUUCGAUACGGGCAGACUAGAGUUCGGCAGGGGAGACUGGAAUUCCGGGUGUAGCGGUGAAAUGCGCAGAUAUCAGGAGGAACACCGGUGGCGAAGGCGGUUCUCUGGGCCUGUACUGACGCUGAGGAACGAAAGCGUGGGGAGCGAACAGG